CAGCCCUUUAUCUUUUAAACCUAUCACUCUGCAGCUUCUCACUUGGUUCCUCCUACGCCUAUGCACCUGACUUCACCUAUUACCUUCUAGCUUGUACUCCAUCCCCCCAUUUUCUUAAUAUGGCCUCCUCCCACUUCCUUUCCAGUGCUGAUGAAGGAUGUUGGUCUAAAACAUCAACUGUUUAUUCCUUUCUAUAGAUGCUGCCUGAUCUACUAAGUUUCUCCAGCAUUUUGUAUGUGUUACUCUGGAUUUUCAGCAUCCGCAGAAUCUCCUGUUUAUAUAUUAAAUGUGGCCAGUCCAAAAGCAUGCAUCACCUAACAACCUCUGUCUUCACCCUAACACAGACGUUCACUGUGUUUGGUCCUCCUCUCAACAACUUGAAACAGACUUACUUUCUCAUUUCCAGGUCACUGACUGGAAAUUCUAAUGGUUCCCUGUCGCAGUUUCUACCUAACCUGUUCCUAACUUGUUGAUGUAGUGAAAUUGUUUCAAUUUCACUUCUGGCCAUUUCUGGUAUCUCCAAGCCCGGAUGCAUGAAACCAAGAAUCGCAUAGGAGGCCAUGGAUCACUGCUGCCAGAUACACCAUGAAUUUUGUGACAGGUUGUGAUCGUGAUGCUCAAGCACCCUUGUCCUCAGUCAGCCAAAGGUUACGAUUGUACUAUGAAGGCCCACUUUGAUGAUGAUCUGAAAUCUGUCUGCACAGAUUUGGAAGUAAAAGUCUCUGCCUCACUCCACUGUAAAGCUAUGUUAUUCUGAAAUGUAAUUUAGACCAGCAUCAAAGAAUUACCGCUUAGGGCAGCAAAACAGCAUGUAAAGCAGUGAGAGCUUUAUUGCAAAAUUCAGCAAGCAGCAGCCUUCAAAUGAAUAUUUCAAGCCUUCAUAUGAAUAUUUUAAACGUGACAACCACACGUAAACACAUAGGCAAAGUGCUCAAAUCCACUCAAGAAAGACUAUUAAGUCAUCAAGCUGCUUCUGACAGGAUCUACUGAAUAUGGCAACAGUGAGAAGUCAGGAGACAGUUGGAAUCAUUUCAAGACUGCUAAUUUAACUUGUCUUAAAAACCAACCGAUGCUCAAUGUGUCAUCAUCAAUGUCAUCUUACUGCAGUUAGAAAAGCCUACGACCUAAAGCAAAAAGGUCCCUGAGUGCCACCCUCCUUGUCUGCUGGUUGAAAAUCUAAUUGGUUCUGCUGACAGCCUUGGGAAUUUGCAAGGAAGGCUGCACAGCUAAUCUCCGAGGGCUAGCAAACAGCUCAGUAUCCAUCUCAGAGCUCUGCUCUCAGGCUGUCGGGAAAUGACUCUGAUGCUAGUGCAAGCUCUCUUCUGCUUCAGCUGUCUUCUUACUUCCAUGAGUCAAAUUCAAUAAUAUUUGUCACUCAAUAAUUUGUGAAGUACCCAACAAAAAACCUCUUCUGUAAUCAAUAUCAGUUUGCCUGCUCUUACUUGUGAAGGUGACCUAUGCUAAGAAUAAAAAAGACAGAAAACACAAUUGCUUCUUCAGUUACAAUGCUUCGAUAGCGAAGGAAAAAGAAACACUAAAAAUAUAACCAUUCCUAUGUUCUACCACCAUUCUGUUUUAAAGUAAAGUGCUGCUAAUUAGUCCGUUUAAGUCUUACUGGAAGAGAAUUUUUAUUUUAACAAUGUCCCUGAUUCUGAUUAUUGUCUAUAUUCAUUUAUGUUAUCACACAUAGAGCUGUCUUAUUUGUCACCACCCGUACCUUAGGGUCAAUCGACAUACUACU